UACGUAGGGUGCGAGCGUUGUCCGGAAUUACUGGGCGUAAAGAGCUCGUAGGUGGUUUGUCGCGUUGUCCGUGAAAUCUCACAACUCAAUUGUGAGCGUGCGGGCGAUACGGGCAGACUGGAGUACUGCAGGGGAGACUGGAAUUCCUGGUGUAGCGGUGGAAUGCGCAGAUAUCAGGAGGAACACCGGUGGCGAAGGCGGGUCUCUGGGCAACUACUGACGCUGAGGAGCGAAAGCGUGGGGAGCGAACAGG
rnacentral:rRNA from 1 species